ACAAAGUGGGAGGUAAACUCCUUCUAAAGCUAAAUAUCACCACGAGACCGAUAGCGAACAAGUACCGUGAGGGAAAGUUGAAAAGCACUCUGAAUAGAGAGUCAAAAAGUACGUGAAACUGCCUAGGGCUCAAGCCCGUUGAACUCGAUUAUCCGAGCGGAGACAUUCACCUGCGGCUGGUGGGGAACCAUACCCUGCCCGCUGCAGGGCACUUGUCUCCCGCGCUACACGAGGACAUUGCGAUCCAUUACGAAACAGCUUGUGCGUCGCAAGACGCAAGGUCGCCCGACAGUUGCCCCUUGGUGCCGGUUGCUUGCCCCACAGUAGCGACGCUCAGUUCUGAAGGCCUGUGCCGCGAGCCGGGGCUUACCGCACGUGGUGUUUGCAGUCGGGCGCGUGAUGGAUUCCAGCGUACGCCGUCGGCCUUCCCGCAAUGGGCCGGCGGACCGUCGAUCGGCAAUGAUAAAAUCGAGGUACCU
rnacentral:rRNA from 1 species